rnacentral:tRNA from 1 species
UAGCCUAGCGGUUAAGGCUAUGGAUCGCCAAUCCGAAGACGGUGGGUUCGAUUCCCGU